rnacentral:rRNA from 1 species
AACCUGAUGGGUUGUCGCUGGCUUCUAGGAGCAUGUGCACGCCUGUCAUCUAUAUCCAUCCACCUGUGCACCUUCUGUAGUCUUGGAGUAAAUGAACGUGAAACUUGUCGGGGUAAACCAAUUCAUUGGUCCUCGGAAGGAGGCCUGCCAUGCGAAAGUAUGGCUGACCUUGAUACUCGCGCAAGUUUCUCCAAGUCUAUGUCUUUCAUAUACCACAUAGAAUGUCUUAGAAUGUAAUCAUUAGGUCUUAGUGCCUAUAAAACACAAUACAACUUUCAGCAACGGAUCUCUUGGCUCUCGCAUCGAUGAAGAACGCAGCGAAAUGCGAUAAGUAAUGUGAAUUGCAGAAUUCAGUGAAUCAUCGAAUCUUUGAACGCACCUUGCGCUCCUUGGUAUUCCGAGGAGCAUGCCUGUUUGAGUGUCAUUUAAUUCUCAACCCCUCUAGCUUUUGUGGCUGGUUUGGGGCUUGGAUGUGGGGGAUUGCGGGCCUCUAUAGAGGUCGGCUCCUCUGAAAUGCAUUAGCGGAACCGUUUGCGGGUCUGUCACUGGUGUGAUAAUUAUCUACCAUCGACGACUGCUCUCUGGCAAUUCUGCUUCUAACUGUCCUCAUUGUGGGACAACAAUAUAUUAAUGCUUGACCUCAAAUCAGGUAGGACUACCCGCUGAACUUAAGCAUAUCAAUAAGCGGAGGAAAAGAAACUAACAAGGAUUCCCCUAGUAACUGCGAGUGAAGCGGGAAAAGCUCAAAUUUAAAAUCUGGCGGUCUUUGGCCGUCCGAGUUGUAAUCUAGAGAAGCGUCACCCGCGUUGGACCGUGUACAAGUCUCCUGGAAUGGAGCGUCAUAGAGGGUGAGAAUCCCGUCUUUGACACGGACUACCAGGGCUUUGUGGUGCGCUCUCAAAGAGUCGAGUUGUUUGGGAAUGCAGCUCUAAAUGGGUGGUAAAUUCCAUCUAAAGCUAAAUAUUGGCGAGAGACCGAUAGCGAACAAGUACCGUGAGGGAAAGAUGAAAAGAACUUUGGAAAGAGAGUUAAACAGUACGUGAAAUUGCUGAAAGGGAAACGCUUGAAGUCAGUCGCGUUGGCCAGGGAUCAGCCUCGCUCUUGCGUGGUGUACUUUCUGGUUGACGGGUCAGCAUCAAUUUUGACCGCUGGAAAAAGGUUUGGGGAAUGUGGCAUCUUCGGAUGUGUUAUAGCCCCUUGUCGUAUGCAGCGGUUGGGAUUGAGGAACUCAGCACGCCGCAAGGCCGGGUUUCGACCACGUUCGUGCUUAGGAUGCUGGCAUAAUGGCUUUAAUCGACCCGUCUUGAAACACGGACCAAGGAGUCUAACAUGCCUGCGAGUGUUUGGGUGGUAAACCCGAGCGCGUAAUGAAAGUGAAAGUUGAGAUCCCUGUCGUGGGGAGCAUCGACGCCCGGACCAGAACUUUUGGGACGGAUCUGCGGUAGAGCAUGUAUGUUGGGACCCGAAAGAUGGUGAACUAUGCCUGAAUAGGGUGAAGCCAGAGGAAACUCUGGUGGAGGCUCGUAGCGAUUCUGACGUGCAAAUCGAUCGUCAAAUUUGGGUAUAGGGGCGAAAGACUAAUCGAAC